AUACUUGCACUUUCAGGGAUCAUUUCUAUAGUUCAUUACUAGAUAAGCCUCUCUCAUACUGUAGAGCACCCAAAACCAUGCAGAGGAGCCAGGGCACUCUUUCCUGAGUGGAAAGCUGGUUCUAGGUAUUGCUCUUGCAAUGGCCUUUCACCAUUGAUGGUCAUUUUCUCUUUCUUUAGAAAAGUGAGAGGAAGAGACUGCAGUCAGAGUAGU